rnacentral:tRNA from 1 species
GGUUAUAGCUCCAUGGAAGAGUGCUUGCCUAGCAUGCUUGAGGCCCCGGGUUUGAUCCCCAGCACCA